rnacentral:tRNA from 1 species
GAAGGUAUAGCUCAGUGGUAGGGUGCAUGCUUAGCAUGCACAAGGUCAUGGGUUCAAUCCCCAGUACCUCCA